rnacentral:rRNA from 1 species
AAAAUCUCAACAAGAGUAUAUGGUGAAUGCCUUGACAUAAGAAGACGAUGAAGGACGUAGCAGCCUGCGAAAAGCCUCGGUUAGGUGGCAAGCAACCUUUGACCCGGGGAUCUCCGAAUGGGGAAACCUUCCCGCAAGCAGUGCGGGAGUCCGCCGAUUGAACACAUAGAUCGGUGAGACGAAUACCCGGCGAACUGAAACAUCUUAGUAGCCGGAGGAAAAGAAAAAAAGUCCCGAGCAAUCGGGAACAUUCCCUUAGUAGUGGCGAGCGAAAAGGGAUCAGCCUAAACUCUAUAAACCACGCGAUCGGAUUUCGAGCGUAGCAAUACGCGAGGAUGAUGGCCGCUGAAGGUUCUAGGACCAUAUGUUUAUAGGGAGUUGCAAGAUUAUUGCGUUCACUUCCUAGACCAAGUGAGGUAGGGUCCACGAAUAAUAACUUCCCUAGUUGAAGCGAGCUGGAAAGCUCCGCCAGAGAAGGUGAAAGCCCUGUAAGGCGAAAGGGGUUAUUACUCUACGGCAACAAUCUUAAGUAUCGCGGGGCUCGAGAAACCCCGUGUGAAUCCGGGUCGACUAUGACCCAAGGCUAAAUACUUCUUAUGAUCGAUAGUGAACAAGUACCGUGAGGGAAAGGUGAAAAGCAGCCCGGUUAGGGCGGUGAAAUAGUACCUGAAACCAUAUACUUACAAAGAGUCGGAGCCUCGAGCAAUCGGGGUGACGGCGUGCCUAUUGAAGAAUGAGCCAACGAGUUUGUUCUAUGUGGCUUGACUAACUUCCGCUUGGAAAGGAGUCAAAGUGAAAGCGAGCCUUAAUAGGGCGUUUCUAUUUAUUUUGUUGGAACACUUGCUUUGUGUUCCGGCAAAAUACUUAGAAGGUCGCAUGGACAAGACCCGAAGCCGGGUGAUCUAACCAUGGCCAGGUUGAAGUGCCGAGAAAUCGGCGCGGAGGACCGAACCCACUAGCCGUUCAAUACUAGGGGAUGAGCCGUGGUUAGCGGUGAAAUUCCAAUCGAACUCGGCGAUAGCUGGUUCUCCUCGAAAUAGCUUUUGGGCUAGCCUCAAGCGCUGACUACCGGGGGUAGAGCACUGAAUGAGGUUGGGGCCGCAAGGUACCCUCCUUAACCAAACUCCGAAUACCGGUAGGUGUAGCUUGGGAGUCAGACUAUGGGCGCUAAGGUUCAUCAGUCAAAAGGGAAACAGCCCAGACCGCAGUCUAAGGUCCCUAAAUAUAUGCUAAGUGUAAAAGGUGGUGUCGCGACUGCGACAACUAGGAGGUUGGCUUAGAAGCAGNNNNNNNNNNNNNNNNNNNNNNNNNNNNNNNNNNNNNNNNNNNNNNNNNNNNNNNNNNNNNNNNNNNNNNNNNNNNNNNNNCGGUGGAGCGUAUGGAAGCGAGAAUGUUGGCAUAAGUAGCAAAAAGGCGGGUGAGAACCCCGCCCACCGCAAGCCUAAGGGUUCCUGGGCAACGCAAAUCGACCCAGGGUUAGUCGGUCCUAAGACGAGGCCCGUGUAGUGCGGGCGUAGCCGAUGGAUGAGCUGGUUAAUAUUCCAGCACUACUGUCAGUUUCCAAUGGGGAGACGCAGUUUCAAGGUUUGAGCGCGUUUAUGGUAUGCGCGUUGCUGAUCAUUCGGUUCGAUCCAGGCAAAUCCGGAUCACCAGAACUGAGCGGUUGGCAGAAGACAAAGCCUCCGGCCGAGUCAAUUCAAGCGGAGAAGCUGCCUAGAAAAACCUCUAGGGCUAAACUGGCGGUAACCGUACCGUAAACCGACACAGGUAGGCGAGGCGAGUAGCCUCAGGUGUACGAGAGAAUCUUCGUUAAGGAACUCGGCAAAACAGCGGCCGUAAUUUCGAGAUAAGGCCUGCCCGCCGCAAGGCGGGCCGCAGCUAAAGAGCCCAAGCGACUGUUUAUCAAAAACACAGCUCCCUGCUAACUCGUAAGAGGAUGUAUAGGGGGUGACGUCUGGCCAGUGUCCGAACGUUAAGGGGAUAGGUUAUCCUUCGGGAGAAGCCUUGAACUGAAGCGCGGAUGAACGCCGGCCGUAACUAUAACGGUCCUAAGGUAGCGAAAUUCCUUGUCGGGUAAGUUCCGACCUGCACGAAUGACGUAACGACUUGGGCACUGUCUCAACGAAGAACUCGGCGAAAUUGCAAGACCAGUAAAGAUGCUGGUUAACCAUAGUGGGACGAAAAGACCCCGUGAAGCUUUACUAUAACUUAAUAUUGGGUUAUGUAUAUGCAUGUUCAGAAUAGGUGGGAGUCCCGAGCAAUCGGGACAACAGUGAGAUACCACCCUUGUAUAUUCGUAAUUCUAACCUCUAGGCCCUUAUCGGGUCGGGGGACAGUAUUUGGCGGGUAGUUUGUCUGGGGCGGAUGCCUCCCAAAAGGUAACGGAGGCGUUUACAAAGGUCGGCUAUCCCGGAAUGGAAACCCGGGAGAUAGUGUAAAGGCACAAGCCGGCUUUACUGCAAGACCUACAAGUCGAGCAGUCGCGAAAGCGGAACUUAGUGAUCCGACCGUUCGAUAUAGGACGGCGGAAGCUCAUCGGAUAAAAGCUACUCCGGGGAUAACAGGCUAGUCACGCCCAAGCGUCCACAGCGACGGCGUGGUUCGGCACCUCGAUGUCG